AGCUGAGCUCACGUGUGCUUGUGGAGGAAUGUAAAUACUGACGAGAAUGAAUGAGCAAAACUCCCGCGGCGAGUAGAAAGGCUUACAGUUAAUGAAAAGCGCUUCUA